rnacentral:tRNA from 1 species
UGGGUUAUGGAGUAAUUGGCAACUCUCCGGGCCUUGGUCCCGGUGUUCUAGGUUCGAGUCCUAGUAGCCCAG